rnacentral:rRNA from 1 species
UACGAAGGGGGCUAGCGUUGCUCGGAAUGACUGGGCGUAAAGGGCGCGUAGGCGGAUGGCACAGUCAGAUGUGAAAUUCCCGGGCUUAACCUGGGGGCUGCAUUUGAUACGUGUUGUCUAGAGUGAGGAAGAGGGUCGUGGAAUUCCCAGUGUAGAGGUGAAAUUCGUAGAGAUCGGAAGGAACACCAGUGGCGAAGGCGACUCUUUGGCCUGUAACUGACGCUGAGGCGCGAAAGCGUGGGGAGCAAACAGG